rnacentral:lncRNA from 1 species
AUAGAAAAAAGCAAGAAGUUUUUAAAAGAAAAAAAGAAGAAAAAAAACGGAAAAAGAAAAGAAAAAAAAAAGAACAUGAAAAACGAAAAAAAAAAAGAGAAAUAAAAAAAAGGAAGAAAGGGAAAAAAGAGAUAAAAAAAGAAAAAGAAAAAAAAAGAGAAAAAGAAUAAAAGAGAAAAAGAAAAAAAAAGAAGAAAAAAGAAAAAAGAAAAACAAAAGAAAAAAGAAGGAAGGAAAAAUGAAAAAAAGGGGGUGCCCGUGAAUAAAAUGAAAAGAAAAGAAUGGUGAAUAAAUGAGAGAGGUGCUCCACGUGAUUUUCUUGGAAAAAUGGUGCAACAGGCCCAUAAGCAAUUAAUAUUAAUGCAGGAUAGAUUACUUUAGAAUAUUUUUGAAAUUUUGUUUUAUUUGGUAAUAAUUCGAAUCAUGACAACCAUUGCAAGGAAUAAUUAAAAAUAAUAUAUAUUUUGUUUUAUUUCCCUAUUUUGCUAAUUGACAAUUAAUUCGUCAUUAAAGCAAGAUCACAAUAAUAUUACAAAUGUGUGUAUAUAAAUAUUCACCUUACAAACAAGAGAAAGGGAGGAGGAUUGAAUUUCAAGGAGAGAGCAUAAGGGAACAAAAAAAAAGAGAGAAAAAAAAAUUCAAUUUCAAAAAGAGAGCAUAAGGGAACAAAAAAAGAGAGGAAGAGAAAAAUCCAAUUUCGAGAAGAGAAAAUAAGGGAACAGAAAGAAAAGGGCUUCGUGUUGCUCAUCCCUGG